GCCCGCUUGGCUCAGUGGUAGAGCGUGUCACUAGUAAGGGAUCGUGAACAAAGAUUCAUGAUAGGGCAGAUGCGGGAAUCUCAAGGUUGUGGGUUCGACCCCCACGUCGGCU